UCUCCGUAGGUGAACCUGCGGAAGGAUCAUUACUGUAUUACCCAUCAACAACGACUGUCGAUCUCCCGUCUUGCCGCGCACGCCCGAGUGCCCGCACACACAUCCACCCCACCCCUACGUGCACCACCGCGCGCGUCCCCCUCUGGCGUGCUCGGCGGGGGGCUACGUUUUCACACAAACUUUGUAUGCAGUGAAGAAUCAAUUUAUAGUUUUUGCGAUCACGCAAUCAAUACAACUUUCAACAAAGGAUCCCUUGGCUCCCGAAUCGAUGAAGACCGA
rnacentral:misc_RNA from 1 species